GAAGUGUGUUCUAGCGGCGGACGGGUGAGUAACGCGUGAGCAACCUGUCCCUCACGAGGGGAAUAACGCAUCGAAAGGUGUGCUAAUACCGCAUGAGACCACGGUACCGACAUGGUACGAGGGGUUAAAGGAGCAAGUCCGGUGGAGGGGGUGGGCUUGCGUCUGAUUAGCUGGUUGGUGAGGUAACGGCUCACCAAGGCGACGAUCAGUAGCCGACCUGAGAGGGUGAUCGGCCACAUUGGAACUGAGAAACGGUCCAAACUCCUACGGGAGGCAGCAGUGGGGAAUAUUGGGCAAUGGGCGAAAAAGCCUGACCCAGCAACGCCGCGUGAAGGAAGAAGGUUUUCGGAUCGUAAACUUCUAUCCUAGGUGAAGAUAAUGACGGUAGCCUAGAAGGAAGCCCCGGCUAACUACGUGCCAGCCGCGGC
rnacentral:rRNA from 1 species